rnacentral:miRNA from 1 species
GAGCAGUGUGUGUGUGAGUGUGUGUGUGUGUGUGUGUGUGUGUGUGUGCGUGCGUGUGUGUGGGGCAUGCACACAC